CCUACGGGUGGCAGCAGUGAGGAAUAUUGGUCAAUGGACGAGAGUCUGAACCAGCCAAGUAGCGUGAAGGAUGACUGCCCUAUGGGUUGUAAACUUCUUUUAUAUGGGAAUAAAAUGUUCCACGUGUGGGAUUUUGUAUGUACCAUUUGAAUACGGAUCGGCUAACUCCGUGCCAGCAGCCGCGGUCAUACGGAGGAUCCGAGCGUUAUCCGGAUUUAUUGGGUUUAAAGGGAGCGUAGGUGGAUUGUUAAGUCAGUUGUGAAAGUUUGCGGAUCAACCGUAAAAUUGCAGUUGAAACUGGCAGUCUGGAGUACAGUAGAGGUGGGCGGAAUUCGUGGUGUAGCGGUGAAAUGCUUAGAUAUCACGAAGAACUCCGAUUGCGAAGGCAGCUCACUGGACUGCAACUGACACUGAGGCUCGAAAGUGUGGGUAUCAAACAGGAUUAGAUACCCGAGUAGUC
rnacentral:rRNA from 1 species